UACGGGGGGGGCAAGCGUUGUUCGGAAUUACUGGGCGUAAAGGGCCAGUAGGCGGCCAACUAAGUCGGAUGUGAAAUCCCUAGGCUCAACUUGGGAACUGCAUCCGAUACUGGAUGGCUUGAAUUCGGGAGAGGGAUGCAGAAUUCCUGGUGUAGCGGUGGAAUGCGCAGAUAUCAGGAGGAACACCGAUGGCGAAGGCAGCUCGCUGGGACGGUACUGACGCUGAGGCGCGAAAGCGUGGGGAGCGAACAGG
rnacentral:rRNA from 1 species